AGCUUUGUGAAAGCAUGAAACGCGUUUGUUUCGUACUUUGCAAUUUUACUAAAUGUGCUUGGCAAAUAUGCAAAUGCCAAGAGUCUUUUGCCCUAAUGAUUAUCUAUGAUAUUGAAUAAUGACGACCAUUUAUCAUUUUUAUGUAGUCGCUUUGCUAGGAAAAACAAACCAUUUACUACUCGUUAAGUCUGUGGCCCGGAGCGAGAUUAAGAAAGUCGAGGUAGAAACGAUGUUCACAAACAGAAAAAAAAAAAAAAAACACAAAAUAGAAAAAUUCACCGCGUUUAGAAUGUGAAAAUAAUGUUUACGCG